rnacentral:rRNA from 1 species
GACGAACGCUGGCGGCGUGUCUAAUACAUGCAAGUAGAACGCUGAAGGAGGAGCUUGCUUCUCUGGAUGAGUUGCGAACGGGUGAGUAACGCGUAGGUAACCUGCCUGGUAGCGGGGGAUAACUAUUGGAAACGAUAGCUAAUACCGCAUAAGAGUAGAUGUUGCAUGACAUUUGCUUAAAAGGUGCAAUUGCAUCACUACCAGAUGGACCUGCGUUGUAUUAGCUAGUUGGUGAGGUAACGGCUCACCAAGGCAACGAUACAUAGCCGACCUGAGAGGGUGAUCGGCCACACUGGGACUGAGACACGGCCCAGACUCCUACGGGAGGCAGCAGUAGGGAAUCUUCGGCAAUGGACGGAAGUCUGACCGAGCAACGCCGCGUGAGUGAAGAAGGUUUUCGGAUCGUAAAGCUCUGUUGUAAGAGAAGAACGAGUGUGAGAGUGGAAAGUUCACACUGUGACGGUAUCUUACCAGAAAGGGACGGCUAACUACGUG